UGAGGCCUCCGACGUGACACAACAUCCUGCAGCGGUGUUGUGUGACCUGCAGUGUCCGUCGCUGGCCUCG
rfam:Penicillium polonicum strain IBT 4502 PENPOL_contig004, whole genome shotgun sequence.